rnacentral:rRNA from 1 species
UCAAUAAGCGGAGGAAAAGAAACUAACAAGGAUUCCCCUAGUAACUGCGAGUGAAGCGGGAAAAGCUCAAAUUUAAAAUCUGGCGGCUUUCGCCGUCCGAGUUGUAAUCUGGAGAAGCGUUUUCCGUGUUGGACCGUGUACAAGUCUCUUGGAACAGAGCGUCAUAGAGGGUGAGAAUCCCGUCUUUGACACGGACUACCAAUACUUUGUGAUACGCUCUCAAAGAGUCGAGUUGUUUGGGAAUGCAGCUCAAAAUGGGUGGUAAAUUCCAUCUAAAGCUAAAUAUUGGCGAGAGACCGAUAGCGAACAAGUACCGUGAGGGAAAGAUGAAAAGCACUUUGGAAAGAGAGUUAAACAGUACGUGAAAUUGUUGAAAGGGAAACGCUUGAAGUCAGUCGCGUUGUCCGGGACUCAGCCUUGCUUCUGCUUGGUGUAUUUCCUGGUUGACGGGCCAACAUCGAUUUUGGACGGCGGAUAAAGGUGAGGGGAAUGUGGCAUCCUCGGAUGUGUUAUAGCCUCUCGUCGGAUGUCGUCGUCUGGGAUCGAGGACCGCAGCACGCCUUUUUGGCCGGGGUUCGCCCACGUAACGUGCUUAGGAUGUUGGCAUAAU